rnacentral:sRNA from 1 species
UCGGUUCCGACGCGGGUCAUCAACGCAGCGGCGCAAGGGACCGCAUAGUGUGGUCUUGAACACCUGCGAAGGAGCAGACAAUGGUUACAGGCACCGUGAAGUGGUUCAACGCCGACAAGGGCUUCGGCUUCAUCACCCCGGACGACGGCGGCGCUGACGUCUUCGCCCACUUCUCUGCGAUCGCGUCGAGCGGCUUCCGCAGCCUCGACGAGAACCAGAAGGUCGAGUUCGACGUCACCCAGGGCCAGAAGGGCCUGCAGGCGGAGAACAUCCGUCCGCUCUGAGCUUUAGCUCUCUGAACGGCGGCCCGCUUUCGAGCGGGUCGCCGUUU